UACCCUAUCUAUGUAACCUUCUUUUCUUUCUAAUCCUUUUUCCUACAACAUGAUUUCCAUUUCAAAUUUGUUGGUGAUGAAUCAUGUUUCGAUUUUUUUAAAUUACAUGAGACAUGCAGGACUUUCUUGGAAGAGUUUUGAAUAUUGUCAAUGAUGAAUUUGAGUUUUUGGUGUUGCUUUUCUGUGUUUAGAUGGUUUUCAGGAUCUACUGAUUCAACUGCAAGAAGAAAUACGAAGCAACACAAGUCUAUUAACUUCUUCAUCUCUGUGAUUCUUCAUAUUCUCUCAUGUUGUUGGUUUUUUUUUUUUUUUUUUGAAUUUUAGAUUUUGAUUUCAAUGUUGCUGGGUUUUUUUUGCUAUUGAAGGUUUGAUGAUGUUAACACUGUUUCAUAUUCUCUCAUCUUUAAUUUAUUCUUAAC